GCCACGCCCGCUCAGUAACUUAAAGAUUGACGGGACCCCGCACAAGCGGUGGAUCAUGUUGUUUAAUUCGAUGAUACGCGAAGAACCUUACCAGGUCUUGACACUCCCCCCGCGAUGCUUUUAGAGAUAAAGCGGAGGUAUUCGGGGAGACAGGUGGUGCAUGGUUGUCGUCAGCUCGUGUCGUGAGAUGUUGGGUUAAGUCCCGUAACGAGCGCAACCCUUGUCCUUAGUUACCAGCACGUUAUGGUGGGCACUCUAAGGAGACUGCCGGUGACAAACCGGAGGAAGGUGGGGAUGACGUCAAGUCAUCAUGGCCCUUACGGCCUGGGCUACACACGUGCUACAAUGGUCGGUACAAAGGGUUGCCAAGCCGCGAGGUGGAGCUAAUCCCAUAAAACCGAUCGUAGUCCGGAUCGCAGUCUGCAACUCGACUGCGUGAAGUCGGAAUCGCUAGUAAUCGUGAAUCAGAAUGUCACGGUGAAUACGUUCCCGGGCCUU
rnacentral:rRNA from 1 species